AUUUUAUGGUCUUGAACAAUGGCCAUAACUGUAGUGAACCUAUGGUUAAAAAUCAUCAAAUUGCGGGAAACUCCUAAAGGAAUCUUAACCAAGUAAGUAUGGUAACAUAACUUAUGGCACAGGUAAUGACUUAUGGUACGGUAAUAUCAAGAUUUAUUAUUCAAUGGGCAAUCCGCAGCCAAGUACCAACUGCCUAAGGGUAAGGGUAUGCAGUUCAUCGACUAGACGGUGAUUGGUGUUAUUAUUAUUAAUAAUGCUUAAGAUAUAGUCAGCCCCUACUUGAAAGAGUGCA
rnacentral:ncRNA from 1 species